rnacentral:rRNA from 1 species
UACGUAGGGGGCAAGCGUUGUCCGGAAUCAUUGGGCGUAAAGAGCGUGUAGGCGGUCCGAUAAGUCCGCUCUGAAAGCCCGGGGCUCAACCCCGGGAGGCGGGCGGAUACUGUCGGGCUAGAGUCCGGAAGAGGCAAGUGGAAUUCCUGGUGUAGCGGUGAAAUGCGUAGAUAUCAGGAGGAACACCGAUGGCGAAGGCGGCCCUCUGGACGGAUACUGACGCUGAGACGCGAAAGCGUGGGGAGCAAACAGG